UUCUGUGUUUUGUCUUCCUCUGUCCAUAGUUGUGCAUGGAGAAGUGUGUCAGUGCAUCAUCUUCUCCAUAUCCGUCACCACCACCGGAGAUCAAACAUGUGGUUGAUUCAGCUGAGUCCACUCCGAAAGAGGGCUUCUUCUCCCCUUUGAUUCAGAGUCACACCAAUUUGGAUUCUCUUUGGAAGAAUUCCAUUUCUGUUGAUGCUCUCUCGUGUUCCAUGGCCAGGCUCUGCUUCACCGCCACCCCUCCGUUAAUUUCACCCAAUUGCUCCACUGCACUCUGCUGUCACUGUUCUGCACAAUUCCUUCAGCAUCACACUUCCUCUGCGCUUCAAGAUGUGAAGGCGCAGUUCAUCUCAGUCACACAAAUGCCCCGUCAGCAGCUGGGGAAACCAGACGUGAUGGAGAAGAUCUUCAGCCAACUCAAGGAUCACUUCUGUGACCUAAUGAUGGACCAACAUUGCGAUCUUUCCAUUCUAGCUAUUUUGCAAGCUAGCUCUGUCCACCACAUCACCAGGAUUCUUCACUUGGUCAUUCAAAACCAGCACAAGCUUAAGGAAUUGUGCAUGCAUAAUCAUGGGAGUUUGGUCUUCCAGAAGUUGUUGGAGCAUUUGAAGACUCCAGAUCAGAUAUCUGCUGUUAUAUUCGCUGUGAAGAGGAUCUGUGUGAGAUUGAGUAAGAAUAUCAAUGGUGGUCAUGUCAUUAACCACUGCCUCAAACUUUUCUCCCCUGCGCUUACAACAUUUAUUAUAGACGAAGUAGCAGAGAACUGUGUGGAAAUUGCAACAGACAAAAGUGGAUGUUCUACCCUUCAAAAAUGCCUUCAUCAUGCAAAAGACAAUAGUAUGAAGCGGCUGAUUCAAGAAAUAGUCUCACAUGCUUCACUCCUUACUGAACAUCCUUUUGGAAAUUAUGCUGUGCAGUACGUUGCUAAAAUGAAGAUACCUGGUGUAAAUGCAGAGAUAAUGUUACAACUUAAAGGUAGAUAUGCUCAAUUAUCUAUGAACAAGCAUGCUAGCAAUGUGGUGGAACACCUCUUAGAAUUCUCAGAAGAGAAGGAUGCUGCUGAUAUUAUUCAGGAGUUAAUGUACACUCAAAAUUUUUUGAGGAUUAUACAGGAUCCUUAUGGGAAUUAUGUUGUUCAAAGAGCGCUGCAAAAUUGCAAGGGCAAUGUUUAUAAAAUGCUUUCAACUAUAAUUUUGUUGAAUUAUCCAUAUCUGCACACCCAUCCUUAUGGGAAACGGGUUCUGACCUUCGUCCAAAGACGCAAGAACUAUGAACAAAGGCAUAUAUAAAAACAGGGUGGCUCUUCUGCUUGAGCAUCGAUGAAACUUUUGUUAGUGUUUUUCUGAACUCUUCAUAGUUUGUUUCAGAAGCUUACAUAUGCGAGCCAGACUAUUAUGAGAAUUCCCCAAGGGAACAAUCAAUGAAGGUGGUGCAUGGGGUGGGAGAAGGAAGUAUUAAGAAGGCAGAUGAUGAUGGUGGAAAAGCAUGUGGAAGUAUGCAUGAGAAGAAUAUAUGAAUGGGGAAAAAAAGGGCUAAGUGUGGGUCAUGGGGGAGCAUGUGUGAUUUGUACUCCAAGUUCAGGGCUGUGGCAAAAGCCAAGGACUGGUUGGUAAGAUUACCAUGUCGCUUUUCGGAGAUUGGUUCAAUUUACAGACAAUGAUUGAGGAACUAAUCAUUGUGCAUUCAACCACUCACCUUGCACGUAGGAAGUUAAGGUUCUAGACUCUUUCAACACUCUGAUACAAAAACUCAGAACUAAGGAUAAAUAAUAUGCAUAAAGAUAUCGCUUUUAUAGAUAUUCUUUCAAAGAAAAAU